UAACCUCUUCCCAAGUAAUCAACCCACUCACGCAUAACUGUGCAGAGACAUUUGAAUUCUCCAGCGAGGACGCAGGAUUUCCCCCCUGCCGUUCAAAUGAAGGGUGCAGCGUCCUCUGAUGAUUUAAAGGUUCAGAUGGAGAGACUAUACCUAAAAGAAACACGCCUGGCUCAACACUGAGCGAAAAUUGGCGCAACAAGAAAAUCCUCAGAGGCUUACGUAUCCAAAAAGCCUUCACAAUCGGGGAAUCUGGUGAGAAUUCCAUUAAGAGAUGGGGAGAAAAUUUAAAUAAAUGCUCUCUUGACCUAAUGUUACUCAUCAUUGAUCAAGUGUCCACAGGAGCAGACACAGAGAUUGAAAAACAAGCGGAAAUCUUCAUAGAUAAGUUUGGAUUCACUUCCAGUUCGGUUUAGAGUUUUGCCAGCAAACACAAAGAGAAGCUACUCAGCAUUAAACUUAAAAAGUACAAGCGUGACACUGAAGGCUAUCAAAGAAAGGAAAUCUACCACUGGGAAUUUAGAGAAGGAGAAGCACCGUCCCAGACUUAAGCCACAGCCGCGCGCACAAGCGCGCCAAGGCACACGAUUACGCGCAGACAGAGACCUGAUCACCGCAGGGAGCAUGCCAACUACAGCGAUUCCUCCGUGGAAAGUGACUUCACCUUUAAUAGCGACUCUGGCAUCCCACCGAGUCAAACCCCUUUUUUAUACAACCGAAAGAAACACGAGCGGAAAGGAAGAAGAAACGCAGGCGGGGCAAGCGCGCAUCCAAGCACCGGGCACCGGCCGUAGACGCGCAGCAACUGGCGGACACGGCGCACCUUCAUCAGGCGACCCAUCAGUGGCUGAUGGCCCCUCUGCUGGACCACUACGAGCUGCUUCUGGUCUGACAGCUUUAUACUUUUCAGCUGAGCCUCCUUCAACACCAGCAGCCUUUGGACUCGUCCUCAGCCUGACGAUGAAGAUAAAGCUGAAGAUGAAGAUAUGAACCACUGGACCACAAGAAAACAACUCAGGAGUCUCAACAGGGAGACAACUCAAGACCUCUGCAAAUACAGUUCUGCAUGGAUGGAG